UACGAAGGGGGCUAGCGUUGUUCGGAAUCACUGGGCGUAAAGGGCGCGUAGGCGGCUUUAUAAGUCGGGGGUGAAAGCCUGUGGCUCAACCACAGAAUUGCCUUCGAUACUGUAGAGCUUGAGACCGGAAGAGGUAAGUGGAACUGCGAGUGUAGAGGUGAAAUUCGUAGAUAUUCGCAAGAACACCAGUGGCGAAGGCGGCUUACUGGUCCGGUUCUGACGCUGAGGAGCGAAAGCAUGGGGAGCGAACAGG
rnacentral:rRNA from 1 species